ACGGCGGCCGUAACUAUAACGGUCCUAAGGUAGCGAAAUUCCUUGUCGGGUAAGUUCCGACCUGCACGAAUGGCGUAACGACUUCCCCACUGUCUCCAAGGUAGACUCAGCGAAAUUGAAUUCCCCGUGAAGAUGCGGGGUACCCGCGGUUAGACGGAAAGACCCUAUGAACCUUUACUAUAGCUUCACAGUGGUAUUACAAUUGUCAUGUGUAGGAUAGGUGGGAGGCUUUGAAGCGGCGACGCCAGUUGUCGUGGAGCCAUCCUUGAAAUACCACCCUUGACCUUUGUGAUAUCUAACUACGAUCCCUGAACCGGGAUCUAGGACCCUGUGUGGUGGGUAGUUUGACUGGGGCGGUCGCCUCCCAAAUGGUAACGGAGGCGCGCAAUGGUGAGCUCAAGACGGUCGGAAAUCGUCUUCAAGAGUGUAAUGGCAUAAGCUCGCCUGACUGCGAGACUGACAAGUCGAGCAGGGUGGAAACACGGUCAUAGUGAUCCGGUGACUCCGAAUGGAAGGGUCAUCGCUCAACGGAUAAAAGGUACUCUAGGGAUAACAGGCUGAUAGCGCCCAAGCGUCCACAGCGACGGCGCUGUUUGGCACCUCGAUGUCGGCUCAUCUCAUCCUGGGGCUGGAGCAGGUCCCAAGGGUAUGGCUGUUCGCCAUUUAAAGAGGUACGCGAGCUGGGUUCAGAACGUCGUGAGACAGUUCGGUCCCUAUCUGCCGUGGGUGUUGGAAACUUGAAGGGAGCUGUCCUUAGUACGAGAGGACCGGGAUGGACGCACCCCUGGUGUACCUGUUGUCGCGCCAGCGGCAUCGCAGGGUAGCUAUGUGCGGAAGGGAUAACCGCUGAAAGCAUCUAAGCGGGAAGCCCCCCCUAAAACUAGGUUUCCCUAUCAGAGCCGUGGAAGACCACCACGUUGAUAGGCCAGAUGUGGAAGUGCAGUAAUGCAUGAAGCUAACUGGUACUAAUUGCUCGAUCGGCUUGAAUCUAAACUACA
rnacentral:rRNA from 1 species